CCUACGGGGGGCAGCAGUGAGGAAUAUUGGUCAAUGGCCGGAAGGCUGAACCAGCCAUGCCGCGUGAAGGUCAGUGCCCUAUGGGCGUUAAACUUCUUUUGUGCGGGAGCAAUAAUGGUCACGUGUGGCCAGACGAGAGUACCGUACGAAUAAGCAUCGGCUAACUCCGUGCCAGCAGCCGCGGUAAUACGGGGGAUGCAAGCGUUAUCCGGAUUUAUUGGGUUUAAAGGGUGCGUAGGCUGGGAGGUAAGUCAGCGGUGAAAUGCCCCCGCUCAACGGGGUGAAGUGCCAUUGAUACUGCCUGGCUGGAAUGCGGAUGCCGUGGGAGGAAUGUGUGGUGUAGCGGUGAAAUGCAUAGAUAUCACACAGAACACCGAUUGCGAAGGCAUCUCACGAAUCCGCGAUUGACGCUGAUGCACGAAAGCGUGGGUAUCAAACAGGAUUAGAUACCCGUGUAGUC
rnacentral:rRNA from 1 species